rnacentral:lncRNA from 1 species
CCAGGGAUCAAACCUGCAACCUCAUGGUUCCUAGUCAGAUUCGUUAACCACUGUGCCAUGACGGGAACUCCUGUGUUCAGUGUUUAAUACAGGUUGAAAUCAAGAUGUCAGCUGGUACCACAAUCUCAUCUGAAGCUUGAGAUCCUCCUCCAAGCUUGCUUGCUUGCUUGCUUGCUUGCUUGCUUGCUUUCUCUUUCCUUAUUACAAGGAACAGGAGACAAAUUUAUCCAGAUAGAUACACAUACAAAGUUUUAGUCAGCUGGGGCUGCCAUAACAAAAUACUCAAGACUCAGUUGUUGAAACAACAACAACUGAUUUUUUCACAGUUCUGGAGACUGGGACUAAGUUUAUUUAGUUUGAUGGCAGAACUCAGUUCCUUAUGUGUAAGAUUGAGGUCCCAUUUUCUUCCUGGCUAUUGGCUGGAUGUUGUCCUCAGCAACUAGAGGCUGUACUUUAUUCCUAGUCACAUGGCCCUUUCAUUGUGUGGCAAUUGCUUCUUCAAAGCAAGAAGGAGAAUCUAUCCAGUGUGCUCCCAUAGACUCUUCUGUAAUGUAACCUAAUCAAGGGAAUGGCUGCCCCAUUUAGAGUCACAGAAACUACUCACACUUAAAGAGAGGAGAUUGUACAGAGUUAAUACAACAGGAGUGGGAAUCUUUGGAGACAUCUUAGAAUUCUGCCUACCAUGCAUUUAUGGAAGACUUAGUAAUUAAAGCAGUAUUUAUUAAGUAUCCACUACAUGUUUUCUUGGAAAUAUUAGAGAAGAAGUGGAAUUUUCACCUUUACAGAAAGUGGCAUCUGAAAUGAGAAAUCAAACAUAAAAGUAUACCAUGGUAGCUGUCUUAGGCGGUAAAUAAUUAGUAUUUUUGAAAGAAGUGGUGCAGAGAGAAAGUGCUCCAGGAAUUCUGAGAUGGAAGAUAUGUAUAUGGACUGCCAGGGAUUGGGGAACAUUUCAAAGGAUAGAUGAAAUUUGUAUUUAGACAUGAAGGAUGCAUAGAAUUUGAAAAACCUCAGAAUUUUGAGAAACACAAUGAUAGAGACUGCUUUUCUCCCAAUAUUUAGAUCCCUUUUCUUCCUCACUAAGAGAACCCCUGAAUUUUAGCUAGCCAUGUAUCCAGCAAUAAUAAAGGCAAUGGUGUUUUUUUUUUUUUUGCUUUUUUUGCUCCUGAGGGUUCCAUGUGACUAACUUCUAGUCAAUGGGAUAUAUGCACAAGUGUCAGGUGAAAGCUUCUGGGAAACUUCUUGAAGAAAUGGCUGAUAUUUGCCCUUCUUUAUCCCUUUGGUCCUCCUGUAGCCAUCUUGUAUUAUGAGGUCAAGUUUAUACAUGAUGGACCAACAAGAUAGAAAACUGGCUCCCUUACACUUUGGAAUGCUAUAGCAGCCUUCACCACCUACCUAGACUUGUGUAUGGUCCAUGGUUAUAAUACCUUACUGUGUGCAAAACAGUGUCACCUUGAGAUUGUAGGGAACAGAUUGGGAGAGUGUAGAUGGCUGCAGUGAGGAAAGAAUGCCAGCCAUGCAAUUAGUCAGGAGACUCAACAUAAUUUAGGCACAAAGACCUGAAUUUUUUUCUUAGAUUCCUUCCCAUAGGGAUUAUACGUAUGCAUGCUUCAAGUGGACUAGGGAUUGAGUGAAAGAGAGCUUUCCUACCAAAUAAAAAGAAACCCUGCAAAUUUCUAAACUAAUUUGCCAACUAUCUUCAAGCUUGAAACUUAGGUGGUCCUACACAGCAUAAGCAGAUGUAGCAUAUCCCACCGUGGCUUACCACAUUCCCCAGAAUCCCCCAACAAAAGCCAGAUAGCUGAAGACGACAUUGUUUUGCACAGUGGAGUUUUCAGAUCACAAAGCUUAGUUUCAUGUUUUACCACAUAAUUUUAUACUAUUCAGGAACUCUGGUACUUUCAUUUAAAGAAAUGUUUACUUAGACUGGACUUUCCUAAUUCUGGUAUUAAAGAGCCAGCAGGAGGUGAUAUUCUCACUUGACUGUAAAAAGUAAAAUAAGUGUCCAAAAAUAUCUGAGCCAUUGGUUUGUCUCCAGCUUUCCAGUAUUCUCUUUGCUAUCCCUCUAUCCCCCACCCCCAACUAUUUCCCUACAAAGUGAAUGACAAUUUUUAUUUUUUGUCUGGUCCAUCUGUCUAAUUUCUGAUGAUGUGUCUCACCAGAUCACCUCCCUCACAUUUUGAAUUAUGUGUUUAGAUUGAUGUGGCCCCCUUUCCUAUGUAUACCUUUUUUCCCUCCCCAUUCCUCUGUGCUGUUUAUACAAAGACAUAUUUCAGUGUGUAAAAACCUAUGUAUCUCUGGAUAUAUUUUCACAAUAUCACUUCAUCUUCACCAGUUUCUGUCACUCAGCACAAGAGAGAUGUGUUUAAAAAUUUUUCUUUCAGGCUGGGAAAAUAAUCUGGAGACCAGAAAGUCUAUUGAAAAGCAGGAUGUUUCUGCAUAAGACAAGCUUGGGGGCAAUAAUGAAAAGAACCACCAAAGAUAGUCCUUGGAACUUAAACUUGGGAGAAAAUGGGGAAUGUAAAAAGUAGGUUGGAGAGCCAAGAGGGAGACCAGCAGAAUAUGGGAUCAAAUGUCCAUUGCUAGCAAGAAAAUACUCAACAAAGAGAGGGACCAGGCAAGAGAAAAUUUAUAGGAAUAUUUCUUAUUACACAACAAAAAAUUCAUGUAGGAAAGAAACCAUAUAAAUGUGACAUGACUAAAGAUAUUUUCAAACAGAAUACGGAACUAAUGAAACAAAAUAUACAGUGUGGAAAAAAAAUAAAAAUGUAAAGAAUGUAGGAAAACUUUCAGUUACUAUUCUUAAUAAUUAUCCAAAUAUUCACCCUUCAUUAGUUCAUUUUGGAGAGAAAUCUUCUGAAUGUAAUAAUUGAAUAUCUUCAGUGAGAAAUUUAACCUUUUCUCAGCAUCAGAAAAUCCACAGUGGAGAUAAACUCUUCAUGUGCAGUGCCUGUGUGAAAACUUUCAGCAGAAGUUCUUCUUUUGGAGGUCCCAUUGUGGCUUAGCAGGUUAAGAACCUGGCUAGUAUCCAUGAGGAUGUGGGUUUGAUCUCUGGCACCCCUUAGUGGGUUAAGGAUCCAGCGUUGCCAUGAGCUAUAGUUUAGGUCACAGACAUGGCUCAGAUCCCACGUUGCUGUUGCUGUGGCUAUGAUGUAGGCCAACAGCUGCAGCUCCAAUUCGACCCCUGGCCCGGGAACUUCCACAUGCCACAG